AUUGAACGCUGGCGGCAGGCCUAACACAUGCAAGUCGAGCGGAUGAAGGGAGCUUGCUCCUGGAUUCAGCGGCGGACGGGUGAGUAAUGCCUAGGAAUCUGCCUGGUAGUGGGGGAUAACGUCCGGAAACGGGCGCUAAUACCGCAUACGUCCUGAGGGAGAAAGUGGGGGAUCUUCGGACCUCACGCUAUCAGAUGAGCCUAGGUCGGAUUAGCUAGUUGGUGGGGUAAAGGCCUACCAAGGCGACGAUCCGUAACUGGUCUGAGAGGAUGAUCAGUCACACUGGAACUGAGACACGGUCCAGACUCCUACGGGAGGCAGCAGUGGGGAAUAUUGGACAAUGGGCGAAAGCCUGAUCCAGCCAUGCCGCGUGUGUGAAGAAGGUCUUCGGAUUGUAAAGCACUUUAAGUCGGGAGGAAGGGCAGUAAGUUAAUACCUUGCUGUUCUGACGUUACCAACAGAAUAAGCACCGGCUAACUUCGUG
rnacentral:rRNA from 1 species